ACUCCUACGGGAGGCAGCAGUGAGAAUAUUGGUCAAUGGAGGGAACUCUGAACCAGCCAUCCCGCGUGUAGGAAGACGGCCUUAUGGGUUGUAAACUACUUUUAUACAGGAAGAAACGUACCCUCGUGAGGGUGCCUGACGGUACUGUAGGAAUAAGCACCGGCUAACUACGUGCCAGCAGCCGCGGUAAUACGUAGGUGGCAAGCGUUAUCCGGAAUUAUUGGGCGUAAAGCGCAUGUAGGCGGCUCUUUAAGUCUGAUGUGAAAGCCUGUGGCUCAACCACAGAAUUGCAUUGGAUACUGGAGAGCUAGAAUCUUGGAGAGGUAAGUGGAAUUUCAUGUGUAGCGGUGGAAUGCGUAGAUAUAUGAAGGAACACCAAUGGCGAAGGCAGCUUACUGGACAAGUAUUGACGCUGAGAUGCGAAAGUGUGGGGUAGCAAACAGGAUUAGAUACCCUGGUAGACUGUCAU
rnacentral:rRNA from 1 species